CCGCCCUCGCAUCCGAAUCCUUCUGUUAAUAUAACAGGCAAUGACCCCCAUAUAAAUAACAUAUAUAUCAUACAUAUCAACAUAUUCCAACAUACCAACUUAAAGUGCCAAACAUAAAUUAACCAUGGCAGGGGUAUACCCGGAUACCCCUGCCCCACCAGAUUCUGAGCCACCGACAGGACUCGGAACCUACCAACCACCAAUGACCACAGUUUUACGUCUCCAUGACGUUCAUCCUAG